rnacentral:lncRNA from 1 species
UUGUCUUUUCUAGGGCCGCACCCAGGGCAUGUGGAGGUGCGGCCCUUAAAAUAAAGACAAAAUAAGGACAAAAAUUCCAUCCCUCCGGGAAGGUGGUAGAGGUAUGAAAAUCAGGGACUACAACCCCCAAACCCCUCCUUUCCCAAGGAAUACUCUGCCCCUUCAUAUGUAUGCCCCUCAUGGUCUACGAGCUAAAGAAAUGCACGGCAGCUGCUCCCCCAUCUGCCCACUCCCCCUCUGGGGGCGUAUUCUCACUUUACUUUCUCCAUCUGUUUCCUGUCUAAAUUCCGUCAGCAAUGAGACAAGAACUUUUCACUGGGAGCACAUCUGGGGUCAUUACUGUGCCUUCGGGGCCCGCAGUAGGCACCAGACACAUGUUUGUUCAGAAAGGAAUAUGUAUUGUCCUUGUCCGGAAUGCCUGCAGCACCCCUCCUCUCUGGCAAACUCCUAUCCAACCUUUAGGGCCCACCUUAAAUGAUCCCCUACGUAAAGCCUGCCCAGAUUCUCUGACCUUGUUUUGGGUGUGAAGAGUCCUUGAGCUUCUCGCAGAGUCAGGCUCGUGGUGGGCACUCGGGACUACCGAAGGAAUGAGAUCUGGAACUUUUAGGAAGAAACCUGGAAAUACAUAAACCCUAUACAGAAGGGUGUACCAUAACUGGCGCCUUUAGUGACUGUCGCCUGGACAUCAGGCCAGUGUCUAGGAAUAGGUACUAAUAGGUGAAUAGGUCUACACUGCUCACAACUUAGGGUUAUUGACUUGUGCUACGGUGUCAUAGGCAUGAUACGAACAGUUGUUCUGUCUCCCAUCUUAUUUGACACUGAAAACUAAAGACCAUCCUGCUUCUGACUGUUUCUUUUGUUUUUUCGGCCACACCCACGGCAUGUGGAAGUUUCUGGGCCAGGUACCCCACACCAGAGUUGCAGCCUGUGCCACAGCUGUGGCACCACUGGAUCCUUAACCUGUUGUGCCACAAGAGAACUUCCAACCAUUACGCUUUUGGCAGAGACUGCUCUAUGCUGGGGGUCCACAAACCUGUUCUGUAAAGGGCCAGAGAGUAAGUAUUUUAGGUUCUGCAGGUCGCACAGUUGCUGUUGCUACCGCUCUGCUGCUGCAGCGUGAAAGCAGCCUUAUAUGGUGUGUUCACAAACGGGCGGGCCGUGUACAAUAAAACUUUAUUUACAAAAGCAAAUUCUCACAUUAAGCUCACCAAAGUCCACUCCUCCUUCCUCCUGGGCACACAGACUCCAUUUCUCGGUCUCACCUGCAAGCGGAUGUGAUCAGACCAUGUUGUAGCUAAUGCAUGGAAGGGAUGGACGCCACCUCCAGGCCUGGUCCCUGAACACCUCCUAUAUGAUUCUCUGCACCUUCCCUACCCCAUGGCUGGAAGGGGAGGACUCAGAGGCCUUCGGGGAUGGCAGGGCCACAAGACAGCCCCCCCCCCCAACUCCCCGCACACCCAACCAGGAAUAUCCGUGCUGGAAUGUUUCAUGAGCAAAAAAUAAACUUCUACUGUGUUUAGCCACUAGGGUUGAUGAUGCUUGUUAGAGCAGUUAUCCUGCCCUGAUGGAACCAGUUAACUUCCUUCUGCCAUCAAGGAAACAGAUGCAGAGAACUCAGAAGGUACUUGCUGAGUUUUGGUGGCUCAGCAUCCCCUCCUCUUUCCUAACAACAGCCCUCCAUUUCCUUUUGAGAAAUUCCAUCCUACCCACUGAGAACAGUCCAGGCAGUUGUUGCCGAGGGAUGGGCAAGGGACCUAAGCUAGCGAAUCGGCUGCCUCCUUUGCAUUUGAACUUCAAGGAGAUCAACCAGACCAGGGACGGCUGAUGUUUCAUUCUGUCCUGGUGGCAGUUUCUGGACUGAAUUGUUGUUACUAAGGCCUCACGGUUAGUAUCCCUAAUACUGAGGCUGCAGAACCACUUUAGUUCUUCUUCCCCAAGUCUGAUUCUCCAGCUUUCCAUUGGUUCUGUGGACGCAAUGGCCUUCCGAGAAACUUCCUCUUGCUUAUGUCAACCAGGGUUGGUUUCUAU